AACCUGGCCCAUACAGGGGGAUAACACUUAGAAAUAGGUGCUAAUACCGCAUAACAACAGAAAGCGCAUGCUUUUUGUUUGAAAACCAAGGUGGUAUGGGAUGGACCCGCGUCUGAUUAGCUGGUUGGCGGGGUAAAGGCCCACCAAGGCGACGAUCAGUAGCCGGCCUGAGAGGGUGGACGGCCACAUUGGGACUGAGACACGAUCCAAAUUUAAACGGGAGGUAGCAGUGGAUAAUAUUGCACAAUGGGGGAAACCCUGAUGCAGCGACGCCGCGUGAGUGAAGAAGUAAUUCGUUAUGUAAAGCUCUAUCAGCAGGGAAGAAAAUGACGGUCCCUGAGUAAGAAGCCCCGGCUAACUACGUGCCAGCAGCCGCGGCAAUACGUAGGGGGCAAGCGUUAUCCGGAUUUACUGGGUGUAAAGGGAGCGUAAACCGCAGUGCAAGUCUGGAGUGAAAGGUGGGGGCUCAACCCCCGGACUGCUCUGGAAACUGUACGGCUGGAGUGCACGAGAGGUAAGUGGAAUUCCUAGUGUAGCGGUGAAAUGCGUAGAUAUUACGAGGAACACC
rnacentral:rRNA from 1 species